ensembl:lncRNA
CUUUAUUUGGGCAGCCUGGUGCCCAGCUCUCAACAGGGGCAUGGGUCCCUGAGGAAGGACUGACAUCUGGGUCAACAACUAGCACUGAGAGGGAGGGAAGGCUAGGAAACAACCAACGCGCAGCGCUUUCCCAGGAAUAUCUCAGAUGUUUAAAGUUAGAAAGAUAGCUUUAGCAUUCUUCUUCCUUCUAAACUUAAAUUCUCCCCAGCUCAGAAUAAGAGAAGGUAAAUGAAAACAGCUUCCAUAAAUAUGCUACACCUCUGAGACAAAGAGGAACUCACAUUCUCCAGCCCAAGGGAGGGAGGAAAACGUAACUGACUGUGAAGGUUAAGGUCACAGACACUGGGACCAGCUAUCCUCAGUCUGUGGUGGAAAGCGAACAGGCACUUACAUUACUCAUAAGGAAACAUUUCUUGUACUCUAGGCUGUUAGACUCCGGAAUGGGUCAACAAGUGAUAUUAUUAGAAUUUUUCUCCUGCUUUUUAAAAUACAGAUGAAUUCUCAACUGUCUUUGAAACUCUGAAUUUCAUUCCACCAGAUGCAUGAGAGAAUGAACUGAAGAAUUCUAGAAUUCUCUUCAAGUCCUUUACUUCCAGGAAAUAGAAAAAUCUGUUUGCUGUUUGUUUGAGCAGCUCUACCACCUGCCCAGCACAAUGAUGGGCCCUCCAGAGGAAGAGAAAAAAAGGAUAUGCCUCUGCACUCAGUGAGCUUACCAUGCACGUAGAGAAGCAGUUUCUAUGGCCUCUCAGUACACAAUUGCGAAGGAGCUUCCCAGGCGUGAUCAUAGGUGAAGUUUUCUCAUUUUACAAGAAAUGUCUUCCCUCUGAACAGUCCCUCCAAUAACCUGCAAGAUCCCCUAACUUACAGGGCACCCCCUAACUUUGGGGGCAUGAAGACUUUCCACGGGGUACAACUUGGAUGGUCUCAGGAGAAUCAACUUCCAGAUCCUCAUUCUCCACAUAUGCUCCUUCCUAAGGUGGUUGGACUGAGAAGCUGCUGGAGUUCACAGUAACCUUUCUCCCACUUGAUAAAAGAAAGGCAAGUGCUUCUGCUCUCUCACAUCUUACCAUGGCUCAUUAUGCUGAGACCGGAGAACUCCAGGGCAGCCAACGAACGAGAAGCCUCCUCUGAAGAAUAAUAAAGGCCCCACUAACUUGCAGGGCGUUCAGGAUUUCCCUGGCUUAUACACUUGCUUGUUUGUUUGAUAACAGAAACCUAUUAUUCAAAUUAGUUAUCUGGCCCGUGUUGGCAUAGUCUGAAUUCAGUUAUAUGGUUCAGUGGGGAAAUGGGAAUAAAAUUAGCUUUUCUUCAACAAACUCACCUCUUCCACUUCCUCACCUCUGUCAAAGCAAGAAAGAGAGAAAGACAGAGAAAGGGAGACUGGAGAAAGAGAAAAUCAUCAUCCUUGAGGGUUAGUCCUGUGAGAGCAAAUCAAGGAGAACACCUGAUGAUGCCCAGUCACCCCAUGAAGAAGCCCAGGCUAGCCCACUGGAGAGUGAGAAACCAUGUGCAGCAGACACAAGGCAUCCCAGCUGACCAGAUGGUGGCUAUAGACACGUGAGCCAGCCCAGGCAAGUCAGCCAAGCCCUUCUAGGCCUAAAGAACCACUCAGCCUCCCUCAGCUGCCUGAGCUAAAAGAAUGCUUAUUGUUUAGGGCUGGGGUUG